GAAAAAUAUUGAGGGAAAAAAAACUUGAGUGUAGGAAUACUCCUUCCUUUAACUAUUUACUCAAGAACAUAUACAGAAUAAACAGAUAUAUCAAAUAUAGAUAUAAUUAUAAUAAGAGGGAUUGGAGAACGAAAGACUUUUGAGCAUCUGUGCUACAUUACAUAAUAUGCCUAAUAAUAAAAGAAGACGCAUGAGAAACCAGGAUAAGAAUAGGAAAGUUUUGAAAAACAAACAAAGGAAAAACAAAAACAACAAACGUAGGAAAUCUUACAAAAGAAAACUGAAAGAAACUUCUAAAAGCAUAAAUAAUUUAAAGUAUAUUGAUAUGUAUACCAAGCAAAAACUAAACGAGAACGAAAUAUCAAUUCUUGCUAAAGGGUUAAAAUUCGUUCCUAGCCCAAACAUUAAAAAUGCCAAAGCUAAUCUUCUCAUUGAUUUUCAAGAACUAGCCCGAAAAAUGAGAUGCAAAUAUCAG
rnacentral:lncRNA from 1 species